rnacentral:rRNA from 1 species
UACGUAGGGUGCGAGCGUUAAUCGGAAUUACUGGGCGUAAAGCGUGCGCAGGCGGCUUUGCAAGACAGAUGUGAAAUCCCCGGGCUUAACCUGGGAACUGCAUUUGUAACUGCAUGGCUGGAGUGCGGCAGAGGGGGAUGGAAUUCCGCGUGUAGCAGUGAAAUGCGUAGAUAUGCGGAGGAACACCGAUGGCGAAGGCAAUCCCCUGGGCCUGCACUGACGCUCAUGCACGAAAGCGUGGGGAGCAAACAGG